GUUCGGAUUGCAGUCUGCAACUCGACUGCAUGAAGCCGGAAUCGCUAGUAAUCGCGGAUCAGAAUGCCGCGGUGAAUACGUUCCCGGGUCUUGUACACACCGCCCGUCACACCAUGGGAGUCGGAAAUGCCCGAAGCCGGUGGCCUAACCGAUAAGGGAGGAGCCGUCGAAGGCAGGUCUGAUGACUGGGGUGAAGUCGUAACAAGGUAUC
rnacentral:rRNA from 1 species